AUGGGUGUUACGCUGACUACACAGCAGAAAGAGAUUUAUAAACAAGUUCAAGAACCCCUGCAGAGAGCAGGUGCAAAACUUCCUGAGAGUCUGGUGAAAGAGUUUGUUAAAUGGGUAACAGUAAGUUUUUCGGAGCAGUCUGUUGCAGAGCCGUUCAUGGAUUUUGUGGAUCGAGUGAGAGCUUCAGUCGAGAAAAGGGUGCAAAAUCCAGAGCUCCAAGAUCAGCUCACACUAGAAAUUGCCACCACAAAUGCAAAUGAAGCCUGUCAGCGAGUCAUCCUGGCCCUUCCAGCAUCGCCUCCACCCACACUCGAUCAGCUCAUUGAGGAGUGCAUGAGAAAAGCUACACUAAUGACAAGGGACUCGGUGAUAAAACCACGGGGGAAAGUGGUUGCAGAGGCAAUGGUAACCCCAAAAACACCAAGGGCUGCCAAGCCUCCUGCACCCAAAUGCCGAUGCUAUUUCUGUAACCAGGAGGGACAUCUCAUAGGCCAGUGCCCUCUGAGGGGGAAAACGGGGGCGGGGGAGGUCUCCAAUCAGCAAAAAAACUGAUUGGGGAGCGCGGUCCUAUCCCGCGUGAUGACACAAAUGGGGUGGGCCAAGGUGUUGUGGCCAGAGCUGCUGUUCACCACAUUGUACCUAGUGUCAGCAGCCAAGCUUACACCACUGAUAAGACCGAACCUUACCGAUUGAGACUCACUAAACCUGUUCAUUUUUCUAAUCAGGACUGGCAUUUCAUCACAGCCACAGCAGAGCUCCUGCCCCGCAUUCGGGACUGCGAAACUCGCAGACGGAAUGUUCUACUAAACUGCAAGUACCUUGUCAUUGGGGACACAAAGUACACUCCUAAGGAGAUAGAAAUCCCUCCUGGCAUCGUUGCACUCGAUCCCAGGACCUUCUAUCUCAUGGCACGCUGUGUCCACCCUCCUCUCUUCCUGGCGGAGGGACAGAUCAUUGCGCAGGCCAUUCCAGUGCCCCAUCUUUUGUGUGAUGAUCAUGCCCUCUCAGUCUUUUACACCGAGACGCUGGGGGAGGAAAAGCCCCUUGUGUGGUGUGGCCUCCAGAGCGAGGGCCAUUCCGUUCUCCUUCAGGGGAUGAUGGACACCGGGGCAGAUGUG
rnacentral:lncRNA from 1 species